rnacentral:lncRNA from 1 species
UUUUCUUUUCUUAUAAUAGUUUUUAACCACGUGCUGUAUACCGUAAUCAUCCGAUGGAUGCCGAAAGUUGAUAAAAAAUUUAAUAAAUAAUAUCAAUUUGCGCGAAAUGAACACAAACGUGGUUAUGGAACGCAUCAAAUUCGGCAAUGAUCGUUUGAGAUAUCACGUUAUCUAUGAGCAAACGAAAAUGCCAAUCUUAUCGAUUUCUUUUUCUUUUUUUUUUUUUUUUUUCUUUCGUUUUCGAAAUCAAUCGAUCACGAGAUCAUAGUACGAUACUUCGAAUAACCGGCUCGCACCGUGUCUUUUUAUUCACUAUUUUUCCUUCCGUUGCUAUCUGUGUCGUGAAUUCAAGGAACGCGUAAGUACAUUUCAUAUCCCUUAGAGUGCGCUGAAUAGCUUCAAGGGUUCACGUGCGUGGGAGAUGUCGUGACGGUAAAGGAACUCUUGUUGUUUCUGUAUUGAAUAAAAAAUUAUUAUCCCCGAUAUAUCUCGAUUAUUCGGACGAAACACGACUAGAGCACAGACACGAUGCGCCGAUGUAGCCAACGAUGACAACUGUCCGCCGGCCAGUCGAGUCCGUCGCUUUUAUGGGGAUAGCCGACCACGCUGCCGCACCGGAACCCGUGCUCUGUGUAUGCGUGCAACUUUACGUGCUCGAUAUACUAUAUAUCGUGUAAGUGCGCGCGCGUGCAUUUGCACACUUCCUUUGCAUGUAUAUCACUAUAUACACAGUUUAGAAGAUACAGCGUUUGUAUGUACGACUAAUUUCUUUUCUCAAAAGAUGCAUAUACAUAUAUGUAUAUACAAUGCAUAUAUAUAUAUAUAUGUACACAUAUACACACACACAUACACACACAAAAUAUGUACAUACAUAUAUAUAUAUAUAUAUAUAUAUAAAACAGUAGAGAGGGAGAAGAACAGGGGUUAACGUAAAGAACUCGUGUCGUCCGUUCGUGAUACCUCGAUCGCGGUGGGUGUCGCGAAUGACUGUGUUCAAGAAGUGUGCGAGAGUCACUACGCGUUGGGUGCCCUACCACAUGCCACUACCAUUAUCAUGAUUUCCACUACCACUUGCACUCGGCUGCCAGCACUACCACUAUAGAACCAGUACGCACCACUAAACUCGGCGAAUAUAUAUCGGUAUCAGUGAGUGGCAAGAACGAAAUAAUACGACGAACAUGGACACCAAUGUGACACGUCAGACUUUGUAGAAGAAACGGAAUAUUACGAUGUAAUUCUAUGCAGCUUUUUUACGCCAAUGAUGUAACGUGAUGGAACGAUGGAAAUGGAAAUGUCGCGAUCGUUUUACGAAACCAUUAAGCGACAAAGAGGAAUUCCCGGAUACAUAGAAGAUAAAUAUCCAUGGAAAUACAUCAAUGAGCGGAAUAUUAUACAUAUACAAUGAAUGGAUUCGACUUCUCGUUGAUUCACAAAUGUGUCGAAAUGACGUAGACGUUAAAUGUGUCUAUAUAAUAAAUGGAUGCAAAUCUACCCGUAUGCCCAUCGCAUACGUAAAAACAUACAAACCAGACAUUAAUGCUCCUUCCGUAACGAAAUUUCAAUCGAGACAGACGAUUCAACGCUGCUCCCCCGAAUCUCACUUCGGAUCUAAAAAUAGAACGGCGAAGGGUGUUCUCGAAAGGAAUACGGUUUCUUUUCCUUCUUUUAUUCGGCAGUUCGAACACCAAAGAUCGACUGGAUACAGAUUCGAAACCACGGCGAAAGAAGAGAGAGAAAAAAAGGAAAAGAAAAAAAAAAAGAAUAAAAUGGAAGAGGGAGAAGAAAGAUUCACGGGAGAUGUAUCUCCUCCUCACCGGUCUCUUCUAUUCCACUGGCGGGACUGGCAGCGGCAAACUCGUUACGAAAUAGUCCCUAAGACGGGGUGACUAAUUGCUAAGCGGCUUGUAAAAAUUCGCAGGACAGUCUGUCGACAUCGUGGCGCGGCCGUCUCAUCGUCGCGCCGUUAUACUUUUUGCCCAUGCACGGUUGACUAGAGAAGAGAAUGACCUAGAGGAAGAGAGAUCGAGUGACAGGGGAAAGUGAUAGGAGUGACAAGGAUAGGAGAGGGCUGCGGUGACGAUGGGGCACGAACGGGGUGUGGUGGGGGUGGUGCAACGACGGAUGCGCGAGGAGAGGGAAGGGGAACAGGCGAGAGAAGCAUGUGCGUGUGAGGCCUUAAGGUGAGAAAAGAAAAAUGGCGAAGAGAGGCCGAGGCUGCGUCUCGCGUUCGAAGGCGAGAGGGGACGACGCUUUCGCAGAUUCCACGUGAGAUACCUGCGGCAUUCUUCGUUCUGCAGCAGGGCAUUAAGCCGGAUGCACAUUCGUCGUGGACGACGCUCAGUGAAUUCAUUUCCAAGAAAAAUAUCUUCCGCCACGAAACGAAUUUUACGGCAGAUUGUGUUCGCGAACAGACCGCCUCAGAGAACUCUCACUCCGCUCCUCUCCUUCCUUGAUGUGUGAACGGAGGACACAGAGAUGCGUGUGAUGUUUUUAUUAUUAUUAUUUUUCUUUUCUUCUCCCGUAGACUGUUUCGGAACUGAAAGUUCCAGCUAUAAAGCGUCUAAUCCGGCGAUAAACCGCGUGGUGAUUCUUUUCCGUGACGUUUACACGUCUCUGACACGUUUCGAGUCGCUGAUGCGCACCGAAUCGAAAAUAAUCUUGUGCGCAUACACGUCUCAUAUUUGAUUGGUAGCCUCAAGCGACAGUUAUGAGAGGAAAAGUUCUUACGAAUCGUCUAGUUUACCUAUUACAAUUUAGGAGAGAAAUAUAAUUGUUCCAAAGGAAUGAUAAAAUAGAAAAAUAAGUAUUAAGAAAAAUUUUUUCCAACUUAUAAAAAUAAAUAUGUAUUUAUAAAAAUAAAAGGUAAGUAAAAUGUAUGUAAUAUAAAAAAUAAUUUCCAAAAUAAAGCUGUAAAAAUACAAGCAGAUGUCAUAAAGAUUCAUAUUUAAGGAAUGUUUAUAUCUAUUUCAGUACGCUGCAUCAAUUGUAUAUAUUAUACUUAACCUAUCUAUUAAAACUAUUAUUGCUAAUUCUUAUUUUUAUCAUCCACUAUAUUAAUUUAUCUAUUUCAAUAUUUAAAAACAAAAUCAAAAGGAAGAUUUUUGUCAACAUCCACAAAAGAAAGAAAAUUCAAUUGUAUAACUAUACAUAGAAAUUCUGAUCAAGAAGUAGUCGAAGAUUCAAACUAUAGAUAUAACGAGGAAAAAAAAGGAUCACGAUAGCGGUGUGCUGGUUCAUACAAGAGAAAGGAAGCAAGAUAUAAAAAUAAGGAAAAAAAUGAAAGAACAGAUGUAAAAGGAUAAUUUGAAUAACUAUUUAUAAGACACGGUUAUGAUAGAUUUUUGACAAAAUUUAAGGCGGACCAAAAAGGAAUCGAGAUAGAAAAAGAAUAAAAAAAAGAGCAUAGAAGGGAGAGAAAUAUUUCUAUUCAACUUUCGAUGAGCGGAUGUAACGCUUUGUAGAGAACCUUCUGCUGUCCUUUCUAACAAUGAUAUUUCUCCUCGCGGCCAGUCUUAGAACUGAGAAAUAAAGUCAAGCCAUUGCUCGCUUAUAACGUGUUGAAGACACACAAUGCUUAUUGUCGACUCGUCGUGGAAUGCGAAGAGCGAGAUAUUGUCGACACAUGCCAAAUGUGGAUCCCUUCGUUUUUGACUACAUACCAACAUUUAUACUGAGUAUUAUUUCGUUUCCUUUUCUUUGCAAUUUAU